rnacentral:lncRNA from 1 species
CUCCGAGGCCCCACCGCAGCGCGUCUCUCCGGUGAAUGGCCGAGGGCUGGGUGGGGCUGCGGUGGGCAGCGGUGGCCUUUCUCCUUCACACACAUACACAUGCCUUCCAAAUGUGCAUGGCUUGGGAUUCGCGUAUUUGUUUAAGAGACGACGGCCACAUCCUUUUGUUCGGCGUUCAGCAGACUCCUCCGAGUUCCGGGAUUUCUCCCGACUGAGGCGUCUCCGUCUCAGUACUCUCGGAGGAAAGCCUCGAGGGGCAGAACUGCCCUCUGUUGUUUCACGGGGCUGGAACCUCCCUCUCCGCAGCCCAAAGAAUCCGGAUGGACCCGCCUUUCCCAGAACCGGAGACCUUGGC